rnacentral:tRNA from 1 species
GAGGGUAGAGCUCAGAGGUAGAGCACGUGCUUAGCAUGCACAAGGUCCUGGGUUCGAUCUCCAGUACCUCCA